rnacentral:rRNA from 1 species
GGAUUCCCCUAGUAACUGCGAGUGAAGCGGGAAGAGCUCAAAUUUAAAAUCUGGCGUGCCUCUGGUCGUCCGAAUUGUAGUCUGGAGAAGCGUUUUCCGUGUUGGACCGUGUAUAAGUCUCUUGGAACAGGGCGUCGUAGAGGGUGAGAAUCCCGUCUUUGACACGGACUACCAAUGCUUUGUGAUGCGCUCUCAAAGAGUCGAGUUGUUUGGGAAUGCAGCUCAAAAUGGGUGGUAAAUUCCAUCUAAAGCUAAAUAUAGGCGAGAGACCGAUAGCGAACAAGUACCGUGAGGGAAAGAUGAAAAGCACUUUGGAAAGAGAGUUAAACAGUACGUGAAAUUGCUGAAAGGGAAACGCUUGAAGUCAGUCGUGUCUGCCAGGACUCAGCCUCGCUUCUGCUUGGUGCACUUUCUGGUCGGAUGGGCCAACAUCAAUUUUGACCGUUGGAGAAAGGCUUUGGGAACGUGGCACUUUCGGGUGUGUUAUAGCCCUUUGUCGUAUGCAACGGUUGGGAUUGAGGACUGCAGCACGCCUUCAUGGCCGGGGUUCGCCCACGUACGUGCUUAGGAUGUUGGCAUAAUGGCUUUAAGCGACCCGUCUUGAAACACGGACCAAGGAGUCUAACAUGCCUGCGAGUGUUUGGGUGGAAAACCCAUGCGCGUAAUGAAAGUGACAGCUGAGAUCCUCUCAUCAGGAGCAUCAGCGCCUGGACUUGAUCUACGGAGACGGUUCUACGGUAGAGCAUGUAUGUUGGGACCCGAAAGAUGGUGAACUAUGCCUGAAUAGGGUGAAGCCAGAGGAAACUCUGGUGGAGGCUCGUAGCGAUUCUGACGU